GUGUUUCACCUAUGUUCAUGUUAUGUAGUAUUUAUAGGGGAGAGAUGGGUCUGAACCAAAAACCCGAGAGCUGAAGCUGGAUCUAGUUUCUGGAAGUGGAAGUCCUGAAGUCAAAUGGGAUCUUGCCCCAAGCUGGGGGAUGGCAUCUGGAAUAUGGUUUCGAUUCAGUCUGCUGGAGACAAGGGUCAGCUCUGGAAUUUGGCUCUGGAUGACGCAACACCCCAUCGUUUAGAAGAAAAAGGUGAAAGACCAGCCUCGUUAGUGCCCGUUGUGGCCGGUGCUGCCGAAGAUGACACUGGUGCAACUCAAAUAAUAGGAUGCUAAAGGAAACACUUUCAAAGAA